rnacentral:rRNA from 1 species
GAAUAUUGGACAAUGGGGGAAACCCUGAUCCAGCAAUACCGCGUGAGUGAUGAAGGCCCUAGGGUUGUAAAGCUCUUUCAGUAGGGAAGAUAAUGACGGUACCUACAGAAGAAGCACCGGCUAACUCCGUGCCAGCAGCCGCGGUAAUACGGAGGGUGCUAGCGUUGUUCGGAAUUACUGGGCGUAAAGCGUACGUAGGCGGUUUACCAAGUUGGGAGUGAAAUCCCGGGGCUCAACCUCGGAAUUGCUCUCAAAACUGGUAAACUAGAGUAUGGUAGGGGAUAGUGGAAUUCUUAGUGUAGGGGUGAAAUCCGUAGAUAUUAAGAGGAACACCAGAGGCGAAGGCGACUAUCUGGGCCAUUACUGACGCUAAGGUACGAAAGCGUGGGGAGCGAACGGG